AGGUAGAGACUGGGCAGCAGAGGCGGGAAUAUGGUGGGGGGAAGCGGUAGACGGAAGUACUGGGCGUAAAGAGCGGGCAGGGAGUGCGGUAAGUCAGGUGUGAAAGAGCCGGGUGUAAUCUGGGAAGUGCGUUUGAAGCUGGAGGUCGAGAGUGCGGCAGAGUGGGAUGGAAUUGCAUGGGUGGGAUAGAAAUGCGUAGAGAGAUGGAAGAACAUCGAUGGCGAAGGCAACCUCUUGGGCUAGCACUGACGCUCAUGCACGAAAGCGUGGGGUGCAAACAGGAUUAGAUACCCGUGAGUC
rnacentral:rRNA from 1 species